rnacentral:rRNA from 1 species
GACGUAGGUGGCGAACGUUAUCCGGAAUUAUUGGGCGUAAAGGGUGCGUAGGCGGCAUGAUAAGUUAUUGGCGGCAAAUCGAGGCUCAACCUCGUGGAAACUAAUAAUACUGUCUGCUUGAGUGCAGAAGAGGUUAACGGAACUCCAUGUGGAGCGGUAAAAUGUGUAGAUAUAUGGAAGAACAUCAAUAACGGCGAAGG